rnacentral:lncRNA from 1 species
UUGAAUGUAUUCUAAGAUAGUAUUAUUUUUAUGGAUUAAUUUUAUACAUGUUUUUAUAAAUAUAGUGAAUGAUAAAUAUAUUUUUAUAAAAUUUAACUUUUAUAUAUUGUUCCUAUAAAAGUUCUAAUAUUUUCAAAUAUAUCCUUCUAAUUUAUUAUCGUCAGAGAAUCGUUAGAGAACCGUUUAUAUUUUCAAUAUUGUCAUUACAAAUAUGUUCCUCCAAAAACUAUAAGAAAGAUAAAAAUGUAAAAAACUAACCAAAGUUAAGUAUUUAACAUAUAGUUAAUUAAGUUUUUUUGAUGAAUUCUAACGACAGGAAUAUAUUUGAAAAUAUCAUGAAUUUUAUAGAGACAACAUAUGAAAGUUGAACUUUGUAGGAUAUAUUUGUCAUUCAUUAUAUUUGCAAAGAC